AUGAGUCUGAGAGUUGGAGCAAAAACUUCCGAAAUAUGGGAAUAUUUCAGGCCAACUGCUAAAAGAGUUGUCGGUACACUCUGUUAAACUUCACUUGGAAACACACAGGAGGUGUUCAAGACGUUUGGAGCGGUUUGUUUCUCUCCUCCAUGUCUCCUCCGGGGCUCCAAAGAUGCACUCACAGAAAAGAAGAAGUCAACACUAACCUCACCUCAUAACGAGGCUGUGACCUAUAUUUGCUCGGAGCUGUCUGCAAGUCCAGAUUUACAUGACGCUGAUAAUGACGCCAUUGUGUCUGCCUGUAAGACAAAUUACGAGACAGCACGCAGGAACUUCAGCUAGAAACAACCAGAUGUGGCAUCGCGGGCAGAAGCUGUGAAGAGCUCAGCUCUGAGUCGGUCGAGAAGAA